CUCUCUCAGUUCCUCUUCUUUCUCACGUUUUGGCCCUUUCUUCUCUCUCGCUCUGUCACUGGUGCUCGAUUGGGUGGUGUGGGCGCUAGAACCUCGGGCGUUUCUUUGCUUUGAAUCACCUCCAUCGCAUUCUGUUCUCCCCUACCAUCCAUUCCUCUGUCGUCAAGGUUAUUCCACAAGCCAUUUGUACCAGAUAUGGUUUAGCUAUUGGUGCUAAUUUUGUGUGGCUUGUGCGUAUAUUGAUUGUUGUUUGCUAUCCAAUUGCAUAUCCUAUUGGGAAGGAAUUCGGACUCUAGGAGAGCUUCUGUUCCACCUCAUGGUGACCCUGACGAUGUGGCACACCUUCCUUCCUCGUCAGAUCAAUCUGAAGUGUUAUCGUUGGAUAUCGGGCAACGUUUUCGAGGUGUUGAACAUUUUAGAGACGCACUUUGGAAUUUUGCAAUCAAACGGAAUUUUGACUUCAAAUUCCUAAAGAACAAAAAACACCGGGUGACUAUAGAAUGCGCUGCAGAUGGUUGUUAAUGGCACCUUUAUGCA